AGAGUUUGAUCAUGGCUCAGAACGAACGCUGGCGGCAGGCCUAACACAUGCAAGUCGAGCGCCCCAGCAAUGGGGAGCGGCAGACGGGUGAGUAACGCGUGGGUAUCUACCUAGUGGUGCGGAAUAGCCCAGGGAAACUUGGAGUAAUACCGCAUAAGCCCGAAAGGGGAAAGAUUUAUCGCCAUUAGAUGAGCCCGCGUUGGAUUAGCUAGUUGGUGGGGUAACGGCCCACCAAGGCGACGAUCCAUAGCUGGUCUGAGAGGAUGAUCAGCCACACUGGGACUGAGACACGGCCCAGACUCCUACGGGAGGCAGCAGUGGGGAAUAUUGGACAAUGGGCGCAAGCCUGAUCCAGCCAUGCCGCGUGAGUGACGAAGGUCUUCGGAUUGUAAAGCUCUUUUGGCGGGGACGAUAAUGACGAUACCCGCAGAAUAAGCCCCGGCUAACUUCGUGCCAGCAGCCGCGGUAAUACGAAGGGGGCUAGCGUUGUUCGGAAUUACUGGGCGUAAAGCGCACGUAGGCGGAUUUGUAAGUCAGGGGUGAAAUCCCGGGGCUCAACCUCGGAACUGCCUUUGAUACUGCAAGUCUCGAGACCGGAAGAGGUGAGUGGAAUUCCUAGUGUAGAGGUGAAAUUCGUAGAUAUUAGGAAGAACACCAGUGGCGAAAGCGGCUCACUGGUCCGGUUCUGACGCUGAGGUGC
rnacentral:rRNA from 1 species